UGUUUUUCUCUUUUUCUUUUUUCCAAGGAAAAGAACAGAGAGAGAGGGAAGGGAGGAUUGGAAGGAAGAAGUUUAUUGCCGUGUGAAGAAGGUGAUAUCGCCGCGUGAAGUGGAGGCGUUGAACAAAGUAAAGGGGGUUGACUCGAGUGUCACUCACAGAUUGAGGCCUUCAAGUCUUCUUCUUCUCUCAACAACCCUCCUCCUCCUACUUCAUCUCCGGAAUCCCAAACAAAGUCAGCUCGAGCAAUUUCAGAUCUUUCUGGUUUAAAAGGAGAAGCUUCUUCUUGGAUUUUCACGAUUCAUCUUUGUCAAAAAGGCGUUCAAUCAAUUCAUCCCAGUUCUCUCUUGUCUUCGAAGAGCCAAAAGAAGAUUCCCCACUCCAUCUGUGCGAAUCCGCCAUCUCAUUGAAAGUUCCAUACUUGGAAGAUGAAUAGGCAUGGGGAACUGGGAGUGUAACAGCUCUUUGUAGCGCAGCCCUGUACUCCUCUCUAUGUUCUCGGGCCAAAGUCUCCUGUCGUUCCAUCCUUUGCUUUGCUGGGAUCUCCAUGAUAUCAUCUUUCUCUACCAUUGCCUGAGUGACCAAGGAGAGCAGGAUGCCAAAGUCAAGAUGAAAGCAAUUUCUUUAAAGGAAACUUUAAGGAAACUUGAGCACAUGGUGCGGCUGAAACUCAUCUAAAUAGCAACAAGAAAAUACCCAUACCAACUCGCAUCCCUUAUCUCAAGCUAUCAAUGAUUUGCACUCAGGAAAAUGACAUGACCAAGAUAUCUUGCCUUCUAAGUUCUAGCCAAAUCAGCUAAAUUGCAUUAAAAACCCGUAUAGUUUUUGUCAGCACUUGAGUGAAUUCAAAAGAUUAUAAAAAAAACCAGCUGUGCAACUUCAAAUGAUUGAACCUCGUUCAUUUCA